rnacentral:rRNA from 1 species
GAUGAACGCUGGCGGCGUGCCUAAUACAUGCAAGUCGAGCGAACAGAUGAGGAGCUUGCUCCUUUGACGUUAGCGGCGGACGGGUGAGUAACACGUAGGUAACCUACCUAUAAGACUGGGAUAACUUCGGGAAACCGGAGCUAAUACCGGAUAAUAUUUCGAACUGCAUGGUUCGAUAGUGAAAGAUGGCUUUGCUAUCACUUAUAGAUGGACCUGCGCCGUAUUAGCUAGUUGGUAAGGUAACGGCUUACCAAGGCAACGAUACGUAGCCGACCUGAGGGUGAUCGGCCACACUGGAACUGAGACACGGUCCAGACUCCUACGGGAGGCAGCAGUAGGGAAUCUUCCGCAAUGGGCGAAAGCCUGACGGAGCAACGCCGCGUGAGUGAUGAAGGUCUUCGGAUCGUAAAACUCUGUUAUUAGGGAAGAACAAACGUGUAAGUAACUGUGCACGUCUUGACGGUACCUAAUCAGAAAGCCACGGCUAACUACGU